rnacentral:lncRNA from 1 species
CAAGUGUAACUUAGGGGUUGUUUUUAGUAUAUUUAGGCCCUCUUUCACACUUUAAUUGUGUACUUUCUUAGACAGAUUCAAUACGCACUAGUUCUCGUCCAUCCUCGUGGCCUUACCGUAUCAAACUCCCUGUCAAAUCAAGAUUUUUAUUUUUGGUUGCAAACUGAUUAGUUAUUAUUUUUGGUAGCAAAUAGAUUUUAUUUUAUGGUAAGUUUAAU